UACGUAGGUGGCAAGCGUUGUUCGGAAUUAUUGGGCGUAAAGGGCGCGUAGGCGGCCGGUUAAGUCAGCUGUGAAAGCCCGGGGCUCAACCCCGGAGGGUCGGCUGAUACUGAUCGACUAGAGUACGGAAGAGGUAGCUGGAAUUCCCGGUGUAGCGGUGAAGUGCGUAGAGAUCGGGAAGAACGCCGGCGGCGAAAGCGACUCUCUGGUCGGAUCCUGACGCUGAGGUGCGAAAGCGUGGGGAGCAAACAGG
rnacentral:rRNA from 1 species